ensembl:lncRNA
AAUGGUCACAGAGGAUAUCCGCGCUCCAGAUGGAGACUCAGCUGGAAAUUGAGGGGAAGAAUGACAUGGGGAGACCAAGCUUUGAGAUCAAGCCCUGAGCCUUUGGAGUGGGAGCACUGACUCCAAGACCCUAGACUACCAGAGAACUAACCCUCAGAUCAGAUCAGAUCAGUCACUCAGUCGUGUCUGACUCUUUGCAACCCCAUGAAUCUCAGCACAUCAGGCCUCCCUGUCCAUCACCAACUCCCAGAGUUCACUCAGACUCACGUCCAUCGAGUCAGUGAUGCCAUCCAGCCAUCUCAUCCUCUGUCUUCCCCUUCUCCUCCUGCCCCCAAUCCCUCCCAGCAUCAGAGUCUUUUCCAGUGAGUCAACUCUUCAGGCUGAGCGCUGAAGAAUUGAUGCUUUUGAACUGUGGUGUUGGAGAAGACUCUUGAGAAUGCCUUGGACUGCAAGGAGAUCCAACCAGUCCAUUCUGAAGGAGAUCAGCCCUGGGAUUUCUUUGGAAGGAAUGAUGCUAAAGCUGAAACUCCAGUACUUUGGCCACCUCAUGUGAAGAACUAACCCUAGGGAGUACCCAAUAGUGAGAACCCACACAAAGGAAACCACUUGAAUACAGAACCCAGCAUCACCCAACCACAAGUACCACCCUGUGCAGGAUGCCUAAUCUAAACAACAAACAAAACAAAAAUGCAAACCCAAUCAUCAGCAGGCAGAAUUACAAACCCCACUCAGCCUUGCCCAUCAGAGGAAAAACAAACAAGCAAACAAAAACUCAGCACAAAUCUCACCCUAUAUGAAGCUCACACCAACCACUGGACCAAUCUUAGGAGGGCAGAAACCAAAAGGAAGCAUUCAAUUUUCUUCAAAGAAAGAUUUCAACUUUCCUUGAAGCCUGGGAAAAGGAGACCUCAAACACAAUAACUUAUAAAAAAAUAAUGAAAAGGCAGAGAAAUACUACACAAAUGAAGGAACAAACUAGAAACACAGAACUCCAAAUAAA